rnacentral:rRNA from 1 species
GAAGUGGUUGCUGCUGGCUCUCUCGAGAGUAUGUGCACGCCCGUCAUCUUUAUAUUUCCACCUGUGCACCUUUUGUAGACCCACAAGGCUUUCGAGUCGAAUGGGCCUAUGUUUUACCAUAUACCCCAAGUAUGUAACUGAAUGUAUCAAUGGGCCUUGUGCCUAUAAACAUUAUACAACUUUCAGCAACGGAUCUCUUGGCUCUCGCAUCGAUGAAGAACGCAGCGAAAUGCGAUAAGUAAUGUGAAUUGCAGAAUUCAGUGAAUCACCGAAUCUUUGAACGCACCUUGCGCUCCUUGGUAUUCCGAGGAGCAUGCCUGUUUGAGUGUCAUUAAAUUCUCAACCUCUCUAGCUUUGCUAGUAAGAUGGCUUGGAUGUGGGGGUUAUUUUUGCAGGCUUUCACAAGUCAGCUCCCCUGAAAUGCAUUAGCCGGUACUCUCUGACCGUCUAUUGGUGUGAUAAUUAUCUACGCCGUGGACUGAAGAAAUUGUACUGCUUAUAAUCGUUCUGUAUAGAACAAUUCAUGACAUUUUGACCUCAAAUCAGGUAGGACUACCCGCUGAACUUAAGCAUAUCAAUAAGGCGGAGGAAA